GGGGAGUCCGGGGCAGAUCGCCGCACGAGCGCCGCCCCCGCGCCCGCCGCUUCCUGCAGGCGCGCCCCUUCCAGGGCCCGGCGGUUCCAGGGCCUUGUGCCCCCUACCGCAGUACUGCGCCCGGCUCCCACCCACGUCCCCGCCGCCCCCUGGAGCCCCCACUCUCUCCCGCAGUCCGCUCCCUCCCGCGCCCUUGUGGCCUCCCGCGCCGGGCUCCCUCCUGCGCCCCACCACCUCCGGCAUCCGCUCUACCUCCAGUGCCCAGGUUCCCUGCGGAGCAGAGCGCGCGCUCCCCUUAGCGGGGAGGAGACCGCGGCGUCCUCUAGACGCCCGAGCGCCUCGGACAGUCUGUCCGCUGGGCUUGGAGGACUUUGGCUGCGAGGUUGUUUCUCGGAUCCGGCAGCCUUGCAGAGUGUGUGUAAAACCCUUCCCCCGUCAAGAGGGGACCCAGCCAGCCCGCGCCCUGCCAGCUCGGGGGAUCGGAGGCGGGUGUGAGUGGUUAGAGGAAACUUUCCAGCAGAGCGCCUUGCCGGAGCAAACCACGCAUCUGUCAAGAACGCUCUCUGGGCGCUCUUGCAAGGAGCUUCUGUUGUUCCAGUGCGGUAGACGCAGAAAGGAAGCGAAGGUUUGUGCAUCUGACAGCUAACGCUGAGGACCAGUUGGAAAAUCACACACUCCUCAGCCCCAGCUAAUGAAUAUCACCACCAGCACCACCAGCCCAACUACAGAUCACGGCAUAAAGCGGGAAAGUGUUCAUUCUGUGCAAAACCAAGGGUGGCAAAGAAGGCAGCUUCCAAUCAGUGGAAAUGGAAUAAUUGAAUAAAUGUGUUCUUUUUUAAAAGCGAGAGGGUGUAGUAGAGAAUCUAAUUUGGACAGAUGACAAGGAGAAUGACUUCUCAUAGUUCACGCUAAAGGUGGCCCCCCAAAUAAGUAGCACCCAGACCCUGGUGAGAACAGUCACCUUUCUUGUAGGAUUACAGCUGGCCACAAAGUCACGAGUGCCACCGGCUGAAUGUGGUCAGAUCACGUUCCCAUGUGUGCUGAGGAGAAAAAUGACCAUUAACUGGGGGCACCACCAGUAGGAACAGCAUUGGCAAGAGUUGAACUCACUCCCCAGGACCCCUCUCCUCACCUGGGGCCCAGGCAGCAAGCCAGCCUUUCACCCUUAGAGCUUUUCCAGCACGAGUCAGCUAAUCCUGUAUCCCCUCAAUUCCAUAAGACACAGGCCAGGCUCUCCAGAAGAUUCUCUUAAAGUCUCCUGCUUGGUUUAAGGGCGAUGGGAAAGAGCCACUCCUCUGCAAAGAGCCUAGGAGCAACGCUCAAGCCUCCGGUUGAGACCGUCAUGAUGGGCUAGGCCCCUGCGCAGUGUUUGGGUCACCCUCUGCAGGGUCUGCAUGGAUGGUCCAGCCCCUCUCUUUAGAAUGCGUGGGUGCCUAGCAAACCUCGUUCUCAGCUGUGGGGUCUCAGCCCACGCUGAGCAGCAGAAAAGUCUCCUGUACAUCCUGCUAUGCAUAGUUUGGGGAGUUUUGGGCACACAGUUGUAAUCAGAAUCAUGCUGGAGGCAGGGAGGGAAGGGGAGGGAUGCCUUAGAAGGGUGUGUGGUGAAGUGAGGCUGCCAAAGAUGGGGUGCUGACAUUCAGAGACACAACGGGGACGAGUAACCCACAUACCAAGAGAAAACAUCCCAGGUGCUGCGGUGAGACCUUGGAGAUGAGAGAAGAUGUAGAAGAGAAUUCUGUUGAGGAAGCGAAGCGAAGCGAACGUCAAGGGGGGAUGGUCUAAAGGACCAGCUCCUUGAUAUUCAGAGAGCUCCUAGGAAUCAAGAAUGAGAAGACUAGCAGCUCAGUGGAAAAAUGGGCGAAGAUCACGACCAGAUAGCCCUCGAUGAAAGAAAGACAGGUGGCCCCUGUCCGUCUGCAGCGCUGCUCAGCCUCACUCCCACUAAGGGGAUCCCAGGUGAAAACCACCCUGGGAUCCAUCUCUCACCUUGGAGAUGGGCAAACAUUUUGACAAGACACUGUGUUGUCAACACUGCGGGGACAGGAGCACUCUGACUCAGUGCUGAUGAGUGCAGCAUGGUUCCACCCUGGAGUGCGUGAAUGUGGCAGCAUCCACCCGAACCACAUACCAAGUCCGUCUUUGACACAGAGGGCCACCUGACUGUCCCUGAAACACAUUCCCCUUCCGGGUUCUAGGACAGCAACUUCUUCGGUUUUCUUCCUAUGUCACAGUUGGUACCUCUGAAACUUCUUUGCUGCCUGUUCCUCUUCUGCCUGGCUUCUCUGCCUGGCUUCUCAACGCUGACAUGCUCAGGGCUCAUUCCAGAGCUUUCUUCUCCAUCGCCACCCUCUCAGAUCACCUCAUCCAAUCCCAUUGCCUAGUUGUUCUUUUUUCGGCAUGGUAAAUACCCAUCUGUGUAAAUGUCACCGUUUUAAAGUGUACCACUUAGUGGCACUUAGCACAUUCACAUUGUGCAACUGCCACCUCCAUCUGGCCCCAGCACAUCCCCCAUCACCCCAAAAGAAAACUCUGUAUCCAUUAAGCAGUCACUCCCCAUUCCCUGAUUUCUCAGCCCCUGGCAACUACGCAUCUGCUUUCUGUCUCUGGAUUUGCUUAUUCUGGAUGUUCUGUAUAAAUGGAACUGUUCCCCUAGCACGAUGUUUUCAAGGUUCAUCCACUUUGUAGCAUGUGUUAGGGCUUCCUUCCUUUUCGUGGCUGAAUAAAAUUCUGUUGUGUGGCUA